GGCAACGAUCAUCGUGUCAGGACCACUGCCCACGUAUCGACGAGGACACAAAAGGUUCAGUAGACUUUUUGCUUUAAAUGAAUGGUUGUUGUCAUGGUGUAAAGAACAGAAACUGCUAUUUGUUAAUAACUGGAAUCUUUUCUGGGAGCGUCCUAGGCUGUUUCGCGCUGAUGGAUUGCACCCCAGCAGAAUCGGAGCGGAGCUGCUCUCUGAAAACAUCUCCAGGACACUUCGCUCCAUGUGACUAAACACCUGAGAAGAGAUGAUGCUGACCCUCAGAGGACCUCAGAUGAUGCUAACCUUGAAUCAACAAACAGAACUAACAAUUAUUGCUAAAUGUGUGACUGAAUCAUAUAAUAACUUAAUAAUAUUGAUAGUUCAUCGUCUAGCUGACUACGUCUUGUAUUAUUAUUAUUAUUUUUUUUUCUAAAAUCCUGUCAAAUGUGCACAAACUACUAGCUACUACUAAAUAUUGUAGAAACAUAAUUUUCUGUAAAGUUGCUUUGUAACGAUUUAUUUUGUAAAAAGCGCUAUACAAAUAAACUUGAAUUGAAUUGAAUUGAAUUGA